UCUGAUGUUGCUGGUCUGCAAACAUAGAGCACUAGCAAUUCCCAACGGUCUGUUGGCUUUGAAUCCAAAGGUGGGGGAAAGGCCUGUUUAAAGUAGUCAACCUUCGUUGUAGGCAGCAGGAUUCUCAUCUGUCUUAACCACUAUCAUACUGCUGUUUCACAUGCCCCUUCAGUUCCCUUCACUGCCCAACAUCAGCUAUCCAAUCCCCAUCCAUCUGGUCUCAGCACAGUCAUCAGCCACCACCGGCACCCAUGUGCGGACUCCACUGGGGGAUUUUUUACAACUGCUGCCCAGAGCAGACAUCUGUUGAUCACACCAAAUGUCCCUGCAGAGUCCAAGUGCAAAAGUGAUCUGAGGCUGCGCUGCUGUGCUACUGGGAUGCAGCUUGAUGGACGCUGAGAGGUGCUUGGCUGUGGCCUACUGUAGUGGCUGAUCUGUCUGGGAUCAAUAGCAGCUAAUUACAGCCCACAUUGAUUCAGAAGGCUCGCUAAUUUAGAGCCCAGCCCGGGUCCUCUCCAUGCAGAGCCAGUGAAGCAGCUCCAAUCCCAACCCCUCUGGCCCUGCAAACAUCUCACUCAGCAGCUCAUUAUCUCCCAGGAACAACUCUUAGGAUCAGUUUCAGUGCUGAGAGAAUAGAUACCUUUAUGGGACAUUAUAGAUCCUCUGAUGUGAUCUGCUUUAUCUUCUGCUUUAUCUACCCUUUCAACUGCUGCUGACCAAAGGCUCUAAAUGGGGGGAGCAAACAAGGGCAUUUUAACAUCCAGAGCUAGCAUUAUUAGCAAGCUCUUUAUUCAUCACUAAAACUCUAUCUCUGGCAGAAAAGACACAAGAUGUGUGCUUUUUCUUAAAUGAAACCAGUGGAAGUUACCUGAAGCCUAGCCUACACUUUUUAACAUUUUAACAGAUGUAGAAGUUUUAAGAGACCUCACACAUGAUGACGAACAAUGACAGAUUUACAGUUUUAUUUGUACUGCGAGAGGAGGGAAACGAUACAGCACACAUCAGACCAACCAGUGUCCAUAACUGGAAAUCUUGCAAAAACCUCCUGCAGUCAAACAUGACUUUAAAGUGAACAAACAUGGGGGACAAUGGGAUGGUUGUCAAGGUGAAUGGCCCUCGCUGCUUAGCUACUUGGUACAUCCAUUGUAGUAAUGAUUUCCUCUCCUUGUCAGUUUGUUGCAUGUUUUAUGGGACAUGUUGUAUAAACAUUUGUUUUGUUACCACAGAUCACCAAGCUGGUUCUCCAUUUAUGACAUCCAUCUAACUUUAUGCUUCUGGUUUAUUAUUGUCUUCAAGGCUGUCUUUGUUGUGCUUCCUUCUUCAGUUAGUUUGCUUCCUGAAUGGCAAUGGUUUCCUUCCACAUGACAAUCAACAGAGAGUGUGCUUGGCUGUACUCAGAAUUCACUUCACAAACAGGAUGGUUGUUAUUGAAAAUAGUAACCAUCUAGAAGGUUUAAUAUUUAAUUUAUCGGUAAUCAUCCACAAUCUUAUUCAAGCGGAUUGAGAGAAAUAAAAUCAAUCUUAGCAAGAUGAAAGAAUCAUGGUCUUGCUGUCUUUAGUCAGAAGGAUGAAUCAAAAUAGGCCUGAUUAUCUUGUGGUGUGCCCUGCCUUUGUGUUCUUUGGGCUCAUUUGAGCAAACUUUAACUUCUUCACAGAGUUUGCAGAAAAAGCUAAAGUUCAUUGCAAAAGCUAUCAAACAAAGAUAAAGGAGAACUGGUCCCAUGGCUUCCUAGCUCCCCUCUCUUUCUUCCUGUAAUUUUCAUAAUGUUUUUGUUUGCUUUAGCUGUUGCUCUUAAUUUUCUUGUUCUCUUUUUAAUCAUUGGUCUAAUUUUUCUAUUUUGAUUCAGUUUUUGUAUUGCAUGUGUAUCCAUAUCUAAGAUAAAUGUCUAAGGAAAUACAAUU